UGAGUAAUCUGGAUAACUUCCAUUAUUGCACCUGCCAGUAGACGAAUUACAUGUGUGGUUUAGGCAUAAGUCAUCUGUGUUUCAAUUAAUUAACAUUUUCUGGAUCUCGAUAAGUUCAUCUUUUGAGAUUUUCCACAGAGUUACACAGAAAGUGCCUUUUCUUCAGGGAGCUACCAUGACCAGUUUUCUGAAGAAAUGAGUGCAACUAAAUUAUUUGCAGGAUCUUUUGGGAGACCAGCCAUGCUGAAAGAGAUUUCUGAAUAAAUUUGCAUACAUCAUGUGUGUAUCUAUUUACCAUAUAUCUAUAAUGCUCACUUGAACGAUCUGUCAUUCAUUGUGUCUCUGGCU